GUUUGAUCCUGGCUCAGAACGAACGCUGGCGGCAGGCCUAACACAUGCAAGUCGAACGGUAGCAGGAAGUGCUUGCACUUCGCUGACGAGUGGCGGACGGGUGAGUAAUACUUGGGAAUGUGCCUUUACGUGGGGGAUAACUAUUGGAAACGAUAGCUAAUACCGCAUAAUGUCUACGGACCAAAGGGGGCUUUUAGCUCUCGCGUAAAGAGCAGCCCAAGCGAGAUUAGCUAGUUGGUGUGGUAAAGGCGCACCAAGGCGACGAUCUCUAGCUGUUCUGAGAGGAAGAUCAGCCACACUGGAACUGAGACACGGUCCAGACUCCUACGGGAGGCAGCAGUGGGGAAUAUUGCACAAUGGGGGAAACCCUGAUGCAGCCAUGCCGCGUGUGUGAAGAAGGCCUUCGGGUUGUAAAGCACUUUCAGUUGUGAGGAAAGGGAUACGGUUAAUACCCGUGUUCUGUGACGUUAGCAACAGAAGAAGCACCGGCUAACUCCGUGCCAGCAGCCGCGGUAAUACGGAGGGUGCAAGCGUUAUCCGGAAUCAUUGGGUUUAAAGGGUCC
rnacentral:rRNA from 1 species